GAUGAAGAACGCAGCGAAAUACGAUAAGUAAUGUGAAUUGCAGAAUUCAGUGAAUCAUCGAAUCUUUGAACGCACAUUGCGCCCGCCAGUAUUCUGGCGGGCAUGCCUGUCCGAGCGUCAUUUCAACCCUCGAACCCCUCCGGGGGGUCGGCGUUGGGGAUCGGCCCUUUCACCGGGUGCCGUCCCCCAAAUACAGUGGCGGUCUCGCCGCAGCCUCUCAUGCGCAGUAGUUUGCACACUCGCACCGGGAGCGCGGCGCGUCCACGUCCGUAAAACACCCCAAACUUCUGAAAUGUUGACCUCGGAUCAGGUAGGAAUACCCGCUGAACUUAAGCAUAUCAAUAAGCGGAGGA
rnacentral:misc_RNA from 1 species